UACAGAGGGGGCAAGCGUUGUUCGGAAUUAUUGGGCGUAAAGCGCGUGUAGGCGGUCUUGCAAGUCGGGUGUGAAAUCCCUUGGCUCAACUGAGGAAGUGCGCCCGAAACUGCAGGACUUGAGUACCGGAGAGGAUGGCGGAAUUCCCCAAGUAGAGGUGAAAUUCGUAGAUAUGGGGAGGAACACCGGUGGCGAAGGCGGCCAUCUGGACGGAUACUGACGCUGAGGUGCGAAAGCGUGGGGAGCAAACAGG
rnacentral:rRNA from 1 species